AUGAGAUUUACUUUUCCAGUUGGUGUAAUGUCUACAAUGGAGAUUUUCAAGCAUGUGAGAAAAGUUGAUUGUAACUCCAAUAUCUCCAUUGCUUAUCGCAUCUUAUUUACUGUGCACGUGACAGUUGCAUCGUCCGAAUGAAACUUUUCGAAGAUGAAAUCACUGAAGAGAGGUUAA
rnacentral:rRNA from 1 species